UACGUGGGGGGCUAGCGUUGUCCGGAAUCAUUGGGCGUAAAGAGCGUGUAGGCGGCCCGGUAAGUCCGCUGUGAAAGUCGGGGGCUCAACCCUCGAAUGCCGGUGGAUACUGUCGGGCUAGAGUGCGGAAGAGGCGAGUGGAAUUCCUGGUGUAGCGGUGAAAUGCGCAGAUAUCAGGAGGAACACCGAUUGCGAAGGCAGCUCGCUGGGACGUAACUGACGCUGAGACGCGAAAGCGUGGGGAGCAAACAGG
rnacentral:rRNA from 1 species